CUCUCUCUCUCUCUCUCUCUAUGGUGGGAUUAAUGCUUAUGGCAAAGAGAAUAUGGAAAUAGUUUUAUAGCCCAGCAAAGAGGUUCAACUCUCUCCCAAGCUAGUCUUCUUAGCUUUCCAGUGUAUAAGACCGAGGAGCUGACAUGUGCAUCGAUGCAAUCCAUAUUUUGGAUUCAAUGAGGGAUUUGGAUCCUCUCCUGCAGUCUCCUGUCCAGCACUGUUCAGUAGUUUUAACGAGAUUGUGACACGUCGCCAAGAAGCAAUCCAAAAGGCUAGAAGUUGCCACGUUGCAGAGAAUGAUAUGUGUUUAGUAGAACGGCGUGGUUUUGGGUCUACGUCGUUUUUAAGGGAUGGCACUAUUGAUGUUGUACUGAUCACAGAUGCCCUUGGACAAAUGACCGUGGUGGUUUUGGGUUGAUUCCAGUUGAAAUGCUUGAUUCAACAACCGAAAAAAAUCAGAGUAAUUUGUGAAAGUGAUGGAAUUUGUGAAAUGUUGAAACCAACUUGUGAGAAGUUCUGGUUGCAGAAUCUCUACCACCAAAAAUGGUAUCGUUCUCUUCAUGAUUUAUUUCGCUGCGUCUUUCCCCCCUGAACUGGUUGCCGAUCCAGCAUGUUUGGUGCCGAAGGGGUGGAGGAGCCGGGUUGUCAAGAAUUGGGUUGAAUUUAGGUGGGUGGACUACAGAAGAAGAUCCAAAUCUAACAAGAAGAUGCUUAAACCUAUUCAACGUUUGGUUACUCUUGCUAUUCUAAAUCAGACUUAUUCUUCUGAGCAGUCUUCUUCAAAUCCGUUUAUACCUUUCCUUAUAAAUGACCAUUCAAUUUUGAAACGGGAGACAAAGGGAAGCCUUCCCAAACUACAUUACUGGAUGUCAAAUAGCUGGUCCAAGGUCUAAGCCAACCCUGCUGUAGAAGAUUAGACAAAUCUCUAGCAAUGGUAGCUCGUCCAGACACCUUCACCUCACUUGAUUCAUUGUGGUCAUCUUCUUCAGGCAUAGAGUCUUCCCAACAUCGAGUCAUUACUGAAGGAAGAUUUAGGGACGAUUUCACUUGGGAUUUUGUAUUCAUCUUUUACGGUUUUUUCUUUGGUUGCUGCAUUGGUGGUUCGAUUUCUAGGGUUGAAAAAUGCUCUUAUUCUUGGGACUACUGAGUAUUGGUUGUUCAUAGCAGUGAAUUUGAUACCAACAUGAUGGUUUUGGACAUACAAAUGUGGAUAUGAUUUUUUUUGACAAGUACGGAAGGGCAAACAAAUGUGGAUAUGGUUUUGGACAUACAAAUGUGGAUAUGAUGGUUUUGGACAUACAAACUAAUGAUUUGUAUUAUAUAAAGAAAUGAAAUGAAUGGUUUUGGUUA